rnacentral:rRNA from 1 species
AUUGAACGCUGGCGGCAGGCCUAACACAUGCAAGUCGAACGGUAACAGGAAGAAGCUUGCUUCUUUGCUGACGAGUGGCGGACGGGUGAGUAAUGUCUGGGAAACUGCCUGAUGGAGGGGGAUAACUACUGGAAACGGUAGCUAAUACCGCAGAACGUCGCAAGACCAAAGAGGGGGACCUGCGGGCCUCUUGCCAUCGGAUGUGCCCAGAUGGGAUUAGCUAGUAGGUGGGGUAACGGCUCACCGAGGCGACGAUCCCUAGCUGGGCUGAGAGGAAGACCACCCACCCUGGCACUGAGACAGGGUCCAGGCUCCUACGGGAGGCAGCAGUGGGGAAUAUUGCACAAUGGGCGCAAGCCUGAUGCAGCCAUGCCGCGUGUAUGAAGAAGGACUUCGGGUUGUAGAGUACUUUCAGCGGGGAGGAAGGGAGUAAAGUUAAUACCUUUACUCAUUGACGUUACCCGCAGAAGAAGCACCGGCUAACUCCGUG